UACGUAGGGUGCGAGCGUUAAUCGGAAUUACUGGGCGUAAAGUGUGCGCAGGCGGCAGAGCAAGUCGAGUGUGAAAGCCCCGGGCUUAACUUGGGAAUUGCGCUCGAAACUACUUUGCUGGAGUGUGGCAGAGGAAGGUGGAAUUCCACGUGUAGCGGUGGAAAUGACGUAGAGAUGUGGAGGAACACCAAUGGCGAAGGCAGCCUUCUGGGCCAACACUGACGCUCAUGCACGAAAGCGUGGGGAGCAAACAGG
rnacentral:rRNA from 1 species